UCAAAUUUGCAGAACUAGCGGACACAAACACAAACGAGCUCCGAUCUCCGACCGCCGUCCGGGAACCUUGUACACCAUGCAAUACGUGUCAAUAUCGUGCGGCGAUUGCCCAGUGUACAAGGUUGUUGAGAUGGUGAAACCUCAUGCAUGGAUUCUGUUUUCGUUGUAUCUUGGUAUCUGAGGCUUCUGUUAAGUUCCAGAGCAACUAGCUAGGUGUUUGUAAGUUUCACCUCAUAUUACUCGAAACUCUUGCAGAUUUAUUUGGAAGCAUUUAUCUGAUUUUGAACAAUGUGUUUAUACUUCUUGUUGAUCAUGCAAAUCUAACAUUUCUCAGAGAUUAUUAUGCAAUUGAACAUUCAUAGACUUUCAGCGAUGGGGAUGUGCAUGUUGGUAUGGCUUGCCUU
rnacentral:lncRNA from 1 species